GUCAAAGUGCUGACUGAACUGCUUUGCCUUUCCUCCCUGGAUGGCAGGAACAGACCUCAGAGCCCCUGUCGGACUACAGCUAGGGGUGGGGCCCCAAAGCUGCCUCCCUCUGGGGACUCAGGGCACGGGUUCCCGGGAUAAUUUCAUCCAUGUGGCUCUUGUUCAUGUGUCCCGAGUGGCCCGAUGGAGAUUCAGGUGCCAAGAAUUCUCCUCAUCUGGUUCUAAGUAGACCCUAUGUGGGCCCGAGCUGGAGGUUCCUGGAGUUUUCUGGUUUCGAUGCUUUCUCCCCACCAGAGCAUGCAGUGGCCUCUUCCACAGAAGCCAAGGUG
rnacentral:lncRNA from 1 species